AUUGAACGCUGGCGGCAGGCCUAACACAUGCAAGUCGAGCGAGAGGCGGAGGGGUGGGUAAUGUAUGGGGACUGCCCGAUAGAGGGGGAUAACUACUGGAAACGGUGGCUAAUACUGCAUACUAUCGGAUAACCCAUAUGGGAUUAGCUAGUCGGUGGGGUAAAGGCUCACCUAGGCGACGAUCUCUAGCUGGUCUGAGAGGAUGAGCAGCCACACUGGGACUGAGACACGGCCCAGACUCCUACGGAGGCAGCAGUAGGGAAUCUUGGACAAUGGUCGCAAGCCUGAUGCAGCCAUGCCGCGUGUAUGAAGAAGGCCUUAGGGUUGUAAAGUACUUUCAGCAGAGAAGCGUUACCCGCACAAGAAGCACCGGCUAACUCCGUGCCAGCAGCCGCGGUAAUAC
rnacentral:rRNA from 1 species